GUGCUCGCUUCAGCAGCACAUAUACUAAAAUUGGAAUGAUACAGAGAAGAUUAGCAUGGCCCCUGCACAAGGAUGAUAUGCAAAUUCAUGAAGCAUUCCAUAUUGUU
rnacentral:snRNA from 1 species